GUCGUAGCAAUCCGUGAAGUCGGUAUUAUCCUCAUUUUAUAAUUGAGGAAAUAGAAGCUUAGCGAGAUUAAAUGGUUUACUAAACACCCGGAGACAGUCCCAGAUCCUUAAUGCGGCUUCCCGAGCCCCUCGAGGUUCCGUCUCGCCUGGGUCCUCACCCUGUGCCUUGCACUUGAAACCCCAGCCUCGAUCUAUUUGCAUCUCCUCAGAAGUUCAAGGUCAGGCACACCUCGGAAGCUUCACACUGCUCUUCCCUCUGCCCAACACCCAGACAUCUUUCAGUUCUCAGUUGAGAGGACACUUCCAACAGGAAGCCAUCCUCGUUCCAUCCCACUGCCCCCCUGGCCGGACUGGCUGCCACUGUCGCUGUACUCCCAGACGCCAAGCCCUGUGAACUUCCUUUCAUGCUGGGCUGCAAUUUCCUCUUCGCUUGUGGAUGUCUUCCAGUUGGCCAGGAGCUUGUAAGGCCUGGGACCUUGUCCUGCUCACUGCUGUUUCCUCAGCACAUAGUACAGUGCCGGACACAAAACCUGCGUAAUAAAUGUUUGUUGAAU